rnacentral:rRNA from 1 species
UGAGGAAUAUUGGUCAAUGGGCGGGAGCCUGAACCAGCCAAGUCGCGUGAGGGAAGACGGUCCUAUGGAUUGUAAACCUCUUUUGUCAGGGAGCAAUUCCCGCCACGCGUGGCGGGAGGGAGAGUACCUGAAGAAAAAGCAUCGGCUAACUCCGUGCCAGCAGCCGCGGUAAUACGGAGGAUGCGAGCGUUAUCCGGAUUUAUUGGGUUUAAAGGGUGCGUAGGCGGAGUGCCAAGUCAGCGGUAAAAAUUCGGGGCUCAACCCCGUCGUGCCGUUGAAACUGGCGCCCUUGAGUGGGCGAGA